rnacentral:misc_RNA from 1 species
AACGCACAUUGCGCCCCCUGGCAUUCCGGGGGGCAUGCCUGUCCGAGCGUCAUUUCUGCCCUCAAGCACGGCUUGUGUGUUGGGUGUGGUCCCCCCCGGGGACCUGCCCGAAAGGCAGCGGCGACGUCCGUCUGGUCCUCGAGCGUAUGGGGCUUUGUCACUCGCUCGGGAAGGACCUGCGGAGGUUGGUCACCACCAUAUUUUACCACGGUUGACCUCGGAUCAGGUAGGAGUUACCCGCUGAACUUAA